CUAGCUGUAUAAUCUUGUAAAAGUUACUUAUCCAUUCUAAGAUUUGGUUUUCACGUCUCCAGCAUGAAGAUAAUAAUAGUGUAUUCCUCAUAGGACUGUUGUUAGGAUGAAAGAGAUAUGACAUACGGAGAAUUUAAUGCAAUACCAAGCACACAAAAAUGUUCAAAUAUUGUUGGUUAUUAAUAUGAUGGUGACGAUGAUGAAGAUUCUUCUAAAUCCCUUAAACACUUUGUAUAUUCACUGAAUAACAAAUGAGUUAAUGAGGGGGUGAGUGAAGUAAAUCUACUUAAAGAGAAGUCCUCAAGCCUAUAAUAGUUUUCGGAUAUACAAAAUAUUUUCAUUUUAAUUUCCUAAAAAAAUUAAAAGAGAAGUCAUUAAUUCCAUAUGUAUGUGUGUGUGCAUAUAUAUAUAUAUAUAUAUGUUUUAUAGGUGUUUGUAUGAGAGAGAGAAGAAAAGAGAAAAAGGUUUCUGUCAGUUUUUCUGGCAUAACUAGUUGUAUUUUUAUUAUACUGCAAGUUACUGGAAGUUAUACUUAAGUUACUCUGACUUAAAAUACAGACCAUGCAUUAUAUGUAAAGUUCCCUUUGCAGGUGACUGCUGUGGAACACCUUAUAAGUAAGAACCUGGAAAAGUUGGAAAAAAGAUCCAAAUGGAAACUCAUGAGAGUAUCAGUUGAAGGAGUUAUGCUACAUUCAUUUAGAUACCCUAGCCAGAGAAGCCAAUGGAGGAGGCAAAUACGAGCCCCCAUCAGAAGACACAGGGCAGCAGCUCAGGAUGAUAUUAAUAGCUGAAAAGUGAAGUUACUGAUUUGUGAUUGAACUUCUUCUCACUACGUGGCAUAAAGAAGGCAUUUCUUUAGAAACCCAAUACCAAGUAAUCAGGCCAGAAGUAAUCCCCCUACUGAUCCAAUAAAUAUUAAUUAAGCCACUAUUGCACUCCAGGCACUAGUGGUAUAAUGGUGAACAAAACAAGCCCCUAUUCCUCUGGCGCUUACAUUCUAGGAGGGGACACAGACAAAAGGAGACAGACACAUCAAUACAGAGACCUGGAGAAAAAGGAAAUAGGAGAAUACCCGGGAGAAUAGUAUUCUAGGUAAAGCGAAAUGCUGUUGCAAAGGCCCUGAGGUGGGAUCCAUGGAGGUCCAUGAGACAGAAAGGAGGCCAGCAUGACUGAAGCAAGAGAGCAAAGAGAGUGGAGGGAGAUUGGGGCAGAAGCCAGAUCACAUGCAGGGACACAACACAUUUUUUUUUUGCAAUUUAUGACUAUUUUUCAUGUGAAAUGGUUAUGAUCCCCCACUUUACAGAUGGAACAACCAAGCCUGAAUAAAGUGACAUGGAUGAAGUGACAGAGCCAAGGCCAGAAUCCAGCUAGCUGACUCUCAUCCCAGGCUGCAUACAUUCCAUCAAGCCGCUUUUCCCACUUAUUUUCCUUACAGGACCAGGCAAUUUUGCUCUCUCUACUGCACUACCAUCAGUAAGAGGAUAUUUUAAAUGCUACACAAAAGUAAAGAAUCUGGGCACGCCCCCAUCCUUCUCUCUUUCCCACAAGACCACUGAAUAGCUCAAGUACUCUACAGCACACCAGGAGCUAACAAGAGGCCCACCCCUGACCGACUUUCUCCUCCUCUGAAUUCACUUGAGGGGAUUCACUUGAUCAGAAGCCAAGGAAGCUGGCAGGAGAACAAGACCCCAUUCUAAGGAGGCUGCAAGGAGGGAAGAACAGACGGACAAGAUAGCACAAAUGUACACAUCUUGCCACCUCCAUUGUUUUAUUAUUUUAAGCAGCAGAGAGAUCUGCCUACUGUAGUAUGUUCGUUACAGCUUGUAUGGUAGAGGGGACACAGCCCAGAUCAGGCAAACCCAAGAUGAGGCGAUGUUGUAAAAAUACUCUGAGGAAUCCCACAGAAAUCUAAGAGCAGGAACUACAGCACAGCUGGGCUUCCUGGUACCUGGAAAGACACAAGGAGCAAAAGCUACUCUCUCAAGAGUGGUCUCUGUCGUGCUUCCUGUGUCUCUCUAUACACCUCAUGUUUCCUCCUGACUGGUGUGCGCCCUCUGCUACCAUAAAUAUUCAUUCCUCUUUACUUCCUUCUUGCCUGUGACCUUUAAUCAUUUACUUAGUCCUGACUGUACAUGAAUUUUCAGAUCUGCUUUCAAAACUAACUGCAGUAUCUCUGUAUCUCUCAGUUCAGAUUCCCAAGAUAGAGAAUUUUGUUCAUCCAGAUCAUUUCUUUAAGCUCUCCCUUUGGGUCACAGGCUGUCUAAUGACUUAACCUCUCUUUGUCCAGUCAGCUACGGCCAAAGGCUGAACUUCCACCACAGAAAAUAGGAACUGCCUGCCAGUUAAGAGAAGUUUAUUCUUUUUAAGAAUUGCUUUAGCUAUUUUUUUUUUGGUCUUUCCACACAAAUUUUAAAAUAAAUGUGUCUAUACCUACAAAAAUAUCUUGCUUAGAUUUUGAUAGGAAUUGCGUUUGAUUUGUAUUUCAAAUUUGAAGAUAAUGGACAUCUUUACUAUGUUGGGUCUUCCAAUCUACAAACCCGGCUUUGCCUAACCACCAAACCCACUGGGACAGACAGACUUCCACAACAAGAUGAAACAAUACACGCACGCCAAGGCAGUAUCUCAAGCCACUUGGGCCUGAAACUUGUGUCCUCAUUGUCAACCUUGAAGCAUAUAGAUGUCAUUCGGAGAAAUCCUUUGACUGCUCUCAGCCCAGACUUCCUCAUCUGGAGAAUGGAGAUAUUACCAGCGGCUCCUACUUUGUUUCAGUGUUUUGUGGGAAUCAUCUGAUGGAUGUAAAACCUUUUGGAAAAUGUAAAAUCCUAUAUAAAAAAAAGAUGAUCCUAAAAAUUGCAAUAUUAUAGGAUUAAACCAGAACAACAACCUUCAUCUAGGUUAUACAUGAAAAUCGAGUUUAAAAAUCUCUUAUUUAGUAAUACCAAAAGAUACUGGUUCAAAGAAUCAUGACUAUCACUUGUAUAAUCUUUCUACUUGUUCUCUAGCUAAAUGCCUUAAAUCUAUGGAGUUCUAAUACUGAAAGAAUUAAGAAAAUCAUUGCCACAUUAAAGGUGAAAGUUUUUAAAAAUAUAUUAAUGAGGUGGUGGGAAGUAGGCUGACAUUAAAGUAGGUUUGGAAGUGUUUGCUUUCUCUAAUUAAAUAGAGCUAAUGAGUUUCUCCACUGAGCCUGAGCACUGGGCUAAACAGUCUCACAAGCCUCUGGUUUCUGUGAUCUCAGUAAGAGAUGGCCAACUGGCAGCCGAAAAUAAUCUGCAUCAUGGGGUGAUUCAUCCUUCACACCUUUGGGUGAAACCUUCCUGUCAGAAUGCAGGAACAGGUUGCAAGCACCAUGCAGGGUUGAGUUAGAGUCUCUUUGGUCUUCAGAAGCUGCUGACCCCUCACUCAUAUCAAGAGACUGUAGCACAAGGUCACUACAACAAGAAUCAGAGAAUGGCAAAAUGAAAGCUUCCACAGAUCACAAAUCAGAGCUGGGAACAAAGUGACAAGGAGGAGAUAGAAUUUAACUGAACCACCCAUCGUUGAAAAUGGGGGCAGGGGGUAGGAUCUAGAGAUACAGAAGGCAUGCCUCUACCCUCUCCUUACUCACAAGCAUGGGAUAUGGGUUUUAAAAAAAGAAAAUGAAGACAAUCUAGCAUAUCUUCAGUGCUUUUGUGGGGUCUGCAGGUAUAAUCAAUCCCUUGGUGUAGUUUAUAAAGCCAUUUAUGACCUGGCCCAGCUUUCCUCUCCAUUUCUGCACAUUCCCUGAACAUCUCACCACCACCUCGCAUCACCACGAAGAUGGAAGGAGCUUCUCCCAGACCUGGACGCGUCCUCUGUACGUGCUGCCCGUCCUGCCCGAAAUGACCUGUCUUUCCUCUGCACAUUCUAAGUCUUCCUUAGUGGAGCCACCUGCUCAGCAAAGACAUUCCUGACCACCCCCUUUCUGUCACCCUGUUUCCCCCAGUUCCUCAGACUCCUUAAACUUGGUCCCUCUUUCAGGUCUUUGAACAGGUGCUUGUCUCCAUCUUUGUCAUCCUUAUUGCAAUUUAUCUCUCAGGUCUCCACUUAAAUACCACUUGGAGGAGAAAUCCUUCAUAUCCCAUUGACUUCUCCAGUCAGGGCCCCAUCUAAUUUUCUACUAGAAUCCUGUUCUCUUCCUUCAUUACACUUGUCACAGCUUUUUAAAGUAAUCAAUCAAUAAAAAAUAUAGUGUAUGAACUUGAUUUAAGACUACACACACAAAUACUUGAGACUGUAACGUUGGUAAAUUUCAAGGACUAUGUUUUGCUCUUCAUUGUAGAUCCAGUAAUACUGGGUGCUCAAUAAAAUAUUUGAUGAACAAAUUCUCUUCUCAAAGUGCUCAGAGCAGUUUGUACAGUCUUUAAAUAUAACACUUAUUCCAUAGUAAUGUAAUUAUUUUCCUUCAUAUCUAUCCCCAUCCCUGGAUUUUGAGCUACUCAAGACUAGGUGAGAUGGCCCCACAGCAUCCUGCACUUGGCAUAUCUUAAUUGGCUUUAACCUGUCUUCCGGCUUCUUGGUGGCAAGAGCAGCUUGUUAGAAACAUGCCUGGUGCCUAACACAGUGUCUGGCACACAAAUAGGUUUUAAACAAAUGAAUGAAUGAAUGAAUGAAUGAAUGGCUAGAAUGUCUUCCCCUCCAUUUUCCCCUGACCUCCCAAAGUGCCCUUUAAAUGUUGGAGGAUAUUGCAUCCUAUCUCUUCGGUGAGAUACAGUGCACCGUCUGUGUGUGUUUCUUACUUAAAGCACAUUCCAUACAACUUACAGAACUUUAGAUUUACAGAAGAGAUGUAUAAGGAUGGAAAUUACUUCCUUGAAAAAAGGAUUUUUUCUGCAACAUGAUACAGAGACCUGUAGGCAUGCAGCUCUUUUUCCUGCAUUGAAUUUAAAGUAUGAUUUGCUGAAAACUGCUAUUUGUUAAUUCUUCAAGGAGAGUCUAUUUUAUAAAGCUUGAUGUACUUGUGUGCAAAUAGGUCCACUUUUGAGCUGUGUUAAAGUAAUCAGGCAAAUCCUUACUCAUCACCAGGUAGGACCUGGUUUGCAGGCUGGUGAUACAGCAGCUGCAAACACGGCACUCAGCUUGGGCUGCAGAAAUCAAGAUUGGCGCGGACAUACCCAGCUGAGUGGCAAAGACCUGAGGAACUAAGGGGAGGAGAAAACCAGAAGAUGGAAGGAACCUGGGUCUCUGAAUGACUGCCUGGAGCAUAACUCCCUUGCCAACCUGUAUUGUGCUGGGAAGUGGGUGAGAAAUGAAA
rnacentral:lncRNA from 10 species